rnacentral:rRNA from 1 species
CACGUAGGAUCCAAGCGUUAUCCGGAUUUACUGGGCGUAAAGCGCGUGUAGGUGGUUUGUUAAGUUGGGUGUUAAAUCUCUCGGCUCAACUGAGAGGUGUCGCUCAAAACUAGCAGACUGGAGGACGGUAGAGGAAGGUGGAAUUCCGGGUGUAGUGGUGAAAUGCGUAGAUAUCCGGAGGAACAUCAGUGGCGAAGGCGGCCUUCUGGACCGCUCCUGACACUCCAACGCGAAAGCUAGGGGAGCAAAC